CCGGGAGCGUGCGCAUGGAUGCCAGCAGACGGCGACACCCCAGGGCCGACAGAUCCCGAAGAGAGAAGGAGCCCGCAUCCCCGGACCACGUCAGCCUUGAUCCGCUAACACCUCAGGGGAGCCCAUCUCUUGUUUAAGCCAUUAAUACGCUGGUUUCUGCUCCAGAUGUGAACCUCACUAAAUUCUGUCACGGAGCAAACACAACCUGGGCUCCAGAGGCGGCGUGGGGAAGGGAAGGAUAAAGAGCCGCUGUCUCAAAAGAGUAGAGGGAAGCAACGUGAUUGGCAAGAGAGAACCGGGAUCCGCUCCCUUUCCCAGGAGACCGACGGACGGAGCUUCAGAGGGAGAAGAGAGACUGCGUUCGUCUUGAACUCGCCAUCCGCGUAGGCCUGACUCUUCUCAGGACCGGCGGGGAAGCGCAGGGCCCCUAGGACACUGCAUCACAGUCUGUUGUUGGCUCCGGACCUCAGCACUUCAAGCCACAUCAGGAGGACCACUAUAACCUGCUAGUGUAAGACUUCGUGAAUGAAUUAGCCACCUCUGCCCAAGAUGGAUCCUAACUGGAACAGCUAAACAAAAUGGCACAAGGAAGCAAUAGAAGAGCCAUUCUGAUUCCAGAGAGAAAGCAUCAGUCUGAGUUCUGACACGGAAGCCAGUCUACCCCAAAAAGACCCUUCCAUGCAUCUCAACAGCUCUAUGAGCAGUUCCCACAAUGCACCGUUGAUGCGGCCACUCAGGAACCUCUAGAGCCAAGGCCGUGAUGGGACAUGAGCUCUCUGGGAAACCCAGACCUCAUGGAAAGUUCUGCUGUAAAAGAGCUGAUACCCUGAAUGGUCAUUUUCUAAACUAAGAGGAAAUGUUUGCAGACAUCAGGCUAUCAACUUGCACAACUCGAAAAAACUCUAAUUGUUAAUACAUUCCAUUGAGAAAUACCAGAGAGAGAGAG